AACGAACGCUGGCGGCAUGCCUAACACAUGCAAGUCGAACGAAGCCUUCGGGCUUAGUGGCGCACGGGUGCGUAACGCGUGGGAAUCUGCCCCUUGCUUCGGAAUAACAGUUAGAAAUGACUGCUAAUACCGGAUGAAGUCUUCGGACCAAAGAUUUAUCGGCAAGGGAUGAGCCCGCGUAGGAUUAGGUAGUUGGUGGGGUAAAGGCCUACCAAGCCGACGAUCCUUAGCUGGUCUGAGAGGAUGAUCAGCCACACUGGGACUGAGACACGGCCCAGACUCCUACGGGAGGCAGCAGUGGGGAAUAUUAGACAAUGGACGCAAGUCUGAUCCAGCAAUGCCGCGUGAGUGAUGAAGGCCUUAGGGUUGUAAAGCUCUUUUACCAGGGAUGAUAAUGACAGUACCUGGAGAAUAAGCUCCGGCUAACUCCGUG
rnacentral:rRNA from 1 species